rnacentral:rRNA from 1 species
ACGGGUGAGUAAUGCCUGGGAGACUGCCCGAUGGAGGGGGAUAACUACUGGAAACGGUAGCUAAUACCGCAUAACGUCGCAAGACCAAAGUGGGGGACCUUCGGGCCUCACACCAUCGGAUGUGCCCAGAUGGGAUUAGCUAGUAGGUGGGGUAACGGCUCACCUAGGCGACGAUCCCUAGCUGGUCUGAGAGGAUGACCAGCCACACUGGAACUGAGACACGGUCCAGACUCCUACGGGAGGCAGCAGUGGGGAAUAUUGCACAAUGGGCGCAAGCCUGUUGCAGCCAUGCCGCGUGUAUGAAGAAGGCCUUCGGGUUGUAAAGUACUUUCAGCGGGGAGGAAGGCGAUGCGGUUAAUAACCGCGUCGAUUGACGUUACCCGCAGAAGAAGCACCGGCUAACUCCGUGCCAGCAGCCGCGGUAAUACGGAGGGUGCAAGCGUUAAUCGGAAUUACUGGGCGUAAAGCGCACGCAGGCGGUCUGUCAAGUCGGAUGUGAAAUCCCCGGGCUUAACCUGGGAACUGCAUUCGAAACUGGCAGGCUAGAGUCUUGUAGAGGGGGGUAGAAUUCCAGGUGUAGC